CAGUAGCCACGGUAACACGGAGGGAGCUAGCGUUGUUCGGAAUUACUGGGCGUAAAGCGCGCGUAGGCGGUUACUCAAGUCAGAGGUGAAAGCCCGGGGCUCAACCCCGGAACUGCCUUUGAAACUAGGUGACUAGAAUCUUGGAGAGGUCAGUGGAAUUCCGAGUGUAGAGGUGAAAUUCGUAGAUAUUCGGAAGGACACCAGUGGCGAAGGCGACUGACUGGACAAGUAUUGACGCUGAGGUGCGAAAGCGUGGGGAGCAAACAGGAUUAGAUACCCGCGUAGUCCCUGUCUCUUAUAC
rnacentral:rRNA from 1 species